GACGAACGCUGGCGGCGUGCUUAACACAUGCAAGUCGAACGGAAAGGCCCUGCUUUUGUGGGGUGCUCGAGUGGCGAACGGGUGAGUAACACGUGAGUAACCUGCCCUUGACUUUGGGAUAACUUCAGGAAACUGGGGCUAAUACCGGAUAGGAGCUCCUGCUGCAUGGUGGGGGUUGGAAAGUUUCGGCGGUUGGGGAUGGACUCGCGGCUUAUCAGCUUGUUGGUGGGGUAGUGGCUUACCAAGGCUUUGACGGGUAGCCGGCCUGAGAGGGUGACCGGCCACAUGGGGGCUGAGAUACGGACCAGACUCCUACGGGAGGCAGCAGUGGGGAAUAUUGCACAAUGGGCGGAAGCCUGAUGCAGCAACGCCGCGUGCGGGAUGACGGCCUUCGGGUUGUAAACCGCUUUCGCCUGUGACGAAGCGUGAGUGACGGUAAUGGGUAAAGAAGCACCGGCUAACUACGUG
rnacentral:rRNA from 1 species